GCUGGUGUGGCUCAGUCGGUAGAGCAGCUGAUUCGUAAUCAGCAGGUCGCGGGUUCGAGUCCCGCCACCAGCU
rnacentral:tRNA from 1 species